UACAGAGGGUGCGAGCGUUGUUCGGAAUUAUUGGGCGUAAAGGGUGUGUAGGCGGUUGGAUAAGUGUGGUGUGAAAUCUCCCGGCUCAACUGGGAGGGUGCGCUACAAACUGUCUGACUAGAGUGUGGGAUGGGAAAGUGGAAUUCCUGGUGUAGCGGUGAAAUGCGUAGAUAUCAGGAGGAACACCGGUGGUGUAGACGGCUUUCUGGACCAUAACUGACGCUGAGACACGAAAGCGUGGGUAGCAAACAGG
rnacentral:rRNA from 1 species